rnacentral:rRNA from 1 species
GGACGAACGCUGGCGGCGUGCUUAACACAUGCAAGUCGAACGGAAAGGCCCUUUCGGGGGUACUCGAGUGGCGAACGGGUGAGUAACACGUGGGUGAUCUGCCCUGCACUUUGGGAUAAGCCUGGGAAACUGGGUCUAAUACCGGAUAGGACUACGGCCUGCAUGGGUUGUGGUGGAAAGCUUUUGCGGUGUGGGAUGGGCCCGCGGCCUAUCAGCUUGUUGGUGGGGUGAUGGCCUACCAAGGCGACGACGGGUAGCCGGCCUGAGAGGGUGUCCGGCCACACUGGGACUGAGAUACGGCCCAGACUCCUACGGGAGGCAGCAGUGGGGAAUAUUGCACAAUGGGCGCAAGCCUGAUGCAGCGACGCCGCGUGGGGGAUGACGGCCUUCGGGUUGUAAACCUCUUUCAGUACCGACGAAGCGCAAGUGACGGUAGGUACAGAAGAAGCACCGGCCAACUACGUGCCAGCAGCCGCGGUAAUACGUAGGGUGCGAGCGUUGUCCGGAAUUACUGGGCGUAAAGAGCUCGUAGGUGGUUUGUCGCGUUGUUCGUGAAAACUCACAACUCAAUUGUGGGCGUGCGGGCGAUACGGGCAGACUGGAGUACUGCAGGGGAGACUGGAAUUCCUGGUGUAGCGGUGGAAUGCGCAGAUAUCAGGAGGAACACCGGUGGCGAAGGCGGGUCUCUGGGCAGUAACUGACGCUGAGGAGCGAAAGCGUGGGGAGCGAACAGGAUUAGAUACCCUGGUAGUCCACGCCGUAAACGGUGGGUACUAGGUGUGGGUUUCCUUCCUUGGGAUCCGUGCCGUAGCUAACGCAUUAAGUACCCCGCCUGGGGAGUACGGCCGCAAGGCUAAAACUCAAAGGAAUUGACGGGGGCCCGCACAAGCGGCGGAGCAUGUGGAUUAAUUCGAUGCAACGCGAAGAACCUUACCUGGGUUUGACAUGCACAGGACGUGCCUAGAGAUAGGUAUUCCCUUGUGGUCUGUGUGCAGGUGGUGCAUGGCUGUCGUCAGCUCGUGUCGUGAGAUGUUGGGUUAAGUCCCGCAACGAGCGCAACCCUUGUCUCAUGUUGCCAGCACGUUAUGGUGGGGACUCGUGAGAGACUGCCGGGGUCAACUCGGAGGAAGGUGGGGAUGACGUCAAGUCAUCAUGCCCCUUAUGUCCAGGGCUUCACACAUGCUACAAUGGCCGGUACAAAGGGCUGCGAUGCCGUGAGGUGGAGCGAAUCCUUUCAAAGCCGGUCUCAGUUCGGAUCGGGGUCUGCAACUCGACCCCGUGAAGUCGGAGUCGCUAGUAAUCGCAGAUCAGCAACGCUGCGGUGAAUACGUUCCCGGG